AGCGAACGCUGGCGGCAGGCCUAAAACAUGCAAGUCGAACGCCGUAGCAAUACGGAGUGGCAGACGGGUGAGUAACACGUGGGAACGUGCCUUUUGGUUCGGAACAACACAGGGAAACUUGUGCUAAUACCGGAUAAGCCCUUACGGGGAAAGAUUUAUCGCCAAAAGAUCGGCCCGCGUCUGAUUAGCUAGUUGGUGAGGUAACGGCUCACCAAGGCUACGAUCAGUAGCUGGUCGAGAGGACGAUCAGCCACACUGGGACUGAGACACGGCCCAGACUCCUACGGGAGGCAGCAGUGGGGAAUAUUGGACAAUGGGCGCAAGCCUGAUCCAGCCAUGCCGCGUGAGUGAUGAAGGCCUU
rnacentral:rRNA from 1 species